CACAUUUGGCUUAGACGAUCAGCUACCGAGGGUAGUGCAAAAUCCAUCUAAAGUCAGUGGUUUCUUUGCUCUCAAUUUGCCCUAUUCCUCUGAGUGGAAACUUUGCCAUUGAAGUGUCCAACCAAUUCCCUCCAAAACAAAAGGAAGAUUCAAGACUCCACAAGACCAGCAAGUUCUCUGUAAUAGCUAAAGGAGAUUCUGCAUCAAAUAGGUCAUUUCUUUUUUUGUUUAAUGAUUUUUUUGACUUUUAUCCUUUAAAAUUCUACUAAUCACAGCUAUUUAUAUUAUGUUUGUGUAAGAUUUGGAAGUUUCUCAGUUCUA